rnacentral:rRNA from 1 species
AUACGUAGGUGACAAGCGUUAUCCGGAUUUACUGGGCGUAAAGGGCGUGUAGGCGGUCUUGCAAGUCAGAAGUGAAAUUCCUGAGCUCAACUCGGGCGCUGCUUCUGAAACUGCAGGACUUGAGUGCUGGAGGGGAUAGCGGAAUUCCUAGUGGAGCGGUAAAAUGCGCAGAUAUUAGGAAGAACACCGGUGGCGAAGGCGGCUAUCUGGACAGUAACUGACGCUGAGGCGCGAAAGCGUGGGGAGCAAACAGGAUUAGAUACCCUGGUAGUCCACACUGUAAACGAUGAAUGCUAGGUGUAGGGGGUAUCGACCCCUUCUGUGCCGCAGUCAACACAAUAAGCAUUCCGCCUGGGGAGUACGGCCGCAAGG